rnacentral:snRNA from 1 species
GUGAUCGUUUCAGCAGCACAUGUACUAAAAUUGGAAUGAUACAGAGAUGAGUAUGGCCCCUGCGCAAGGAUGACACUCAAAUUUGUGAAGGAUUAAGAAAAAAU